rnacentral:RNase_P_RNA from 1 species
CAAGCAGUUCACCUUAUCGUUACAUACUGACAUCUGUCACUAUGUAAAGGAAAGUCCGGACACCAAAGAGUAUCGUAGCGGAUAACAUCCGCCCGGCGCAAGCCGAGGACGAGUGCAACAGAAAGCAAGUACAGUCAGGCUGUAGUGAAAUCAGGUAAACUCUACGAGGUGCAAUGCUACGUAUAUUGGAGCUUGAGGGCUACUCGCCCGAUUCCAAGGGGUAAGCAGCUAAAGUAAUGCAGCAAUGUAUUACUCAGAUAAAUGAUAAGGGCCCGCCACCGGCGGGAACAGAAUCCGGCUUAUGAACUGCUUUUUUU